rnacentral:rRNA from 1 species
UACGUAGGGGGCUAGCGUUGUCCGGAAUCAUUGGGCGUAAAGCGCGUGUAGGCGGCCCUGCAAGUCGGAUGUGAAAUCCCACGGCUCAACCGUGGAAGUGCAUUCGAAAACUGCAGGGGCUAGAGUCCUGGAGAGGAAGGUGGAAUGCUUGGUGUAGAGGUGAAAUUCGUAGAUAUCAAGCGGAAACACCGGGAUGGCCGGAAGGGCCGGC